AUCCAGCUGACGUGUCCCAAUUAGGACGAAACCCGCCUCCUGGAU
rnacentral:hammerhead_ribozyme from 1 species